rnacentral:tRNA from 2 species
GCCGCUGUAGCUCAGGUAGUAGAGCAACGAAUUCGUAAUUCGUGGGUCGGAUGUGCAAGUCAUCCCAGCGGCU